rnacentral:rRNA from 1 species
GCUAGUAAUCGCAGAUCNGCAUGCUGUGGUGAAUACGUUCCCGGGCCUUGUACACACCGCCCGUCACACCAUGGGAGUCGGAUAUGCCCGAAGCCGGUGACCUAACCGCAAGGAAGGAGCCGUCGAAGGUGGAGCCGAUGACUGGGGUGAAGUCGUAACAAGGUAAC